UGAGGCAUUUUCUAUGCUCGGAAGCUCUGCAAUCUGAUUUCUGCUCAACAAGAAACUGAAACAAGCUUCUAGGGGGAGCCGCGGGGCUGCUGCCGUUCGUCUCACAGCGAGCUUCUCCCGGCCCUGACUCCUGGGGAACUCCAAUCUCUGAACGCAGGGGCAGUUCCCGUGCCGUGCCAAGGUGCCGGGGUGGGGAGGCAACACAGCAACACGCGCCCAGCACCAGGCUGCCAGGAGCAGUAACCAGACUUUGCCUGACACUGCGUGGUCCAAAAGAAUUAAGGAAAUAUGGAAUGACAUGAAGGAGAUUAGUUGAGGAUUAAAGGCUUUGAGGACAAAACACCUCGCCGAGGUGAAGCACAGACUAGCGUUCUAGUUGUAGCUCCAAG
rnacentral:lncRNA from 1 species